rnacentral:tRNA from 1 species
GAGCUAGUAGCUCACUAGGUUAGAGCGCACGCUUGAUAAGCGUGAGGUCGUAGGUUCGAGUCCUACCUAGCUCA